AUUGAACGCUGGCGGCAGGCCUAACCCAUGCAAGUCGAGCGAGCGGCGGACGGGUGAGUAAUGUAUGGGGACUGCCCGCUCGAGGGGGAUAACUACUGGAAACGGUAGCUAAUACCGCAUACUCUCGCAUCACCCAUAUGGGCUUAGCUAGUAUGUGAGGGAAUGGAUCACCUAGGCUACGAUCCCUCGCUGGUCUGAGAGGAUGAUCACCAAAACUGGGACUGAGACACGGCCCAGACUCCGACGGAGGCAGCAGUGGGGAAGAGUGCACAAUGGGCGCAAGCCUGAUGCAGCCAUGCCGCGUGUAUGAAGAAGGCCCGAGGGGUGUAAAGUAAUUUCAGUAGGGAGGCGUUACCGACAGAAGAAGCACCGGCUAACUCCGUGCCAGCAGGCGCGGUAAUUC
rnacentral:rRNA from 1 species